CCUACGGGAGGCAGCAGUAAGGAAUAUUGGACAAUGGUCGCAAGACUGAUCCAGCCAUGCCGCGUGAAGGAUGAAGGCCCUAUGGGUUGUAAACUUCUUUUGUAUGGGAAAAAACCCCUCUACGCGUAGAGGGCUGAUUGUACCAUAAGAAUAAGGAUCGGCUAACUCCGUGCCAGCAGCCGCGGUAAUACGGAGGAUCCAAGCGUUAUCCGGAUUCAUUGGGUUUAAAGGGUGCGUAGGCGGAAUGAUAAGUCAGUGGUGAAAGCCUGCAGCUUAACUGCAGAACUGCCAUUGAUACUGUCAAUCUUGAGUACAUUUGAUGAGGGCGGAAUGUGUCAUGUAGCGGUGAAAUGCUUAGAUAUGACACAGAACACCGAUUGCGAAGGCAGCUCUCAAAACUGUAACUGACGCUGAGGCACGAAAGCGUGGGUAUCAAACAGGAUUAGAUACCCUGGUAGUCCACGCUGUAAACUAUGAUUACUCGAUGUUUGCGAUACACUGUAAGCGUCUAAGCGAAAGCGAUAAGUAAUCCACCGUGGGGAGUACGCUCGCAAGAGUGAAACUCAAAGGAAUUGGACGGCUUGGAGGACGNGCGACGGACGACGACGAGGGGAGGAGG
rnacentral:rRNA from 1 species